GGGCGCGAUCCUGGAGACCCGGGAUCGAAUCCCACAUCGGGCUCCCGGUGCAUGGAGCCUGCUUCUCCCUCUGCCUGUGUCUCUGCCUCUCUCUCUCUCUGACUAUCAUAAAUAAAAAUAAAUAAACAAAAUAAAUAAAUUCAUUUAAACUAUAACAAAUCAGUUGAAAACUAUGAGUAUUCUGAGUACUUGCUCAUUUUCCUUGAUUUUUUUUUAAAGCUUCUCUUAGCUUCCCCAUCGGACCUGCAAAGAGAAUAAGACAUAUUAAAGCAUCAUUCUCUCUUGAGCUGCCAUCCACUGCUGGACUCCCUUUAUUUUGAGACUUAAAAAAACAGUGAUUACAAAGAAAAGAAUCAAGAAACUACAUUUCUCUUCCUUACUAGAGAUAUUAUCUCCUAUUAAGACAAGAAAUCUAGAUAUGGCAGGGGAAAAAAAAAGAGCCAUCCUUCAUCUGAACAGAGGACAAAGUGAAGUGAAGAUUCAAAGCUACCAAGAAGAUUAAACAAAAAUGGAGUGCAAUACCUGCACCAUAUAGAUUCUCAUUAAAUGUGAAAAAUUGUCAGUGCUUUCCCAGCUCCUGAUAUCAUUUGCCAAUCUCUUCUGAAAGUGUCUCAAAUUAAGUGAGUAUUUUUCAUAAUUGCCAAAGCUGUAGUUGUUUAAAAUAUAUUACUAUGUAAAACUUACUAUUUCUCUCAUGAUUAUUUAAGGAAUAUAUAUUUAUUGAAGCAAAUCACCUAUAAUCUCACCCCUGAAAUAACCACCAUUUAUGUUUUCAUGUACUUCCUUUCAUCUUUAUACAUUUUGUAUUGUUUUAUAAAAUAGAUUAUAUAUACAUUUUGUUUUUAAUGCUUUGUUUCUAAUGUUAUGGUCUGAGCAAUUUCCUAUUUCCUUUACACUCUUUGAGAAGAUGUCUGUAGCAAUUCAUCCUAAAUCCAGUAUUCUAAAUUAUAUCCUGAUAAUAUCUUCUUUUUUGACCCUUUCACCCUAAGUAUCUUCAGAAAUUCUUUUUUGAAGCACUUAAUCAACAUCAGAACUAUGGGUUUAAAGACGUUGUACUUGCUAGGUAAUCAUUGAUAACAAAGCACUUCAGGUACAAUAGAAAGCCAAUGUUUUUUAUUUUGAGAGUUGGUUUAAACUGAGAACACUUCUUUCUUUGUUGACCAAGUCUUCCUUUUUGAAAAGACGCUUCUGAAGCAGAUUAAAAAAAAAUUGCGCUCUCCAUUCAGAAGGUAUUUAAUCUUUGUAUUCUCAUGGUGACAAACUGAGUGCCAUUAGCCAAGGAGACUCUCCCCUGAUGACAGAGGUGGAUCCCCAGUGAAAGGAAUCAAGUAAAGGUGAGGCAGCACAAGGCUUUGUAACCAUAGUUACUUUAAGUCUAAGAUUAUAAACAUAUUGCUUCCAUUAUGAAAGAUGCAUUAACAUUCCUUUAUGUCCAGUCUUAGAAACCUUGUUAUCAAGGCUAGCCUGUUUACUUAGUUAUCUCUUAAGAGAUGGCUAGGCUUAAUUAACACUUAAACAUUAACCUUGAAGAUAGUCCUAGAAAGUGGCCAGGGAGUGGGGAUAGAACUCUUUGAAAGUGGGAUGGAGUGAUCUCAAAGAAAUACUCAAAUUCUGAGAGAAGCAAAAGCUUUAUCUUAUGAGCCUCUUCAAGAAUUUGCUUCUACUGACCCAGAAAAUUCUGGAAAUGACCUCCUAUAUCUUUAUACAUGCACCUGAAUGAAGUGAACGGUGAAAUGGGAGUACUUUAGAAAGCAAUCCUUAAAAAUAAAAUUGCUAUAUACUUUGCAGCUAAUCAUUCAUCUAGUUCUAACAGAUGUUUUCUUGUAAACGGUAAAAAAUAUUCACAGUAAACCACUGGAAUGAUUAAUAUAUUCAUAACAAUAAGGUAGUAUAUUCUUUUAUGACUAGGCUGUCACCACAUUUGGGGAAACUGCUGCCUCAGAUUUUUUUCUGCCUUUGUAGCAAACUUCCUGACAACCGCACAAUUUUACCAUUUGCAUGAGAAGAGCCUGGCUAUUGUAAAUCAUUAUUAUGGAUGUAUUAUUGUACUGUUGCUAUUUCCAUGGAGUUUUUUGGAGAGAAGACACACCAGGAUGAGUUGUUCCUAACUAUUUAUAAUAAAUGUCCAGGGUAAGGAGUUUUCAACUGGCUUUCCAAAAAUAUUCUAAACUCUAGGGUGAGCCUUUUUCGAGAUCUUUUCUAAAGUUUCUUUGUCCCUGGUAAAGCAUUAGGAGAAACCUAACGCUCUCACAAAGUAGGACUAUCUCACUUAAUGUGAUAAUCAUCCCCAACUUGACUCCCAAUGCUUACUUGACUCCUAUGCAUGCUGCCGAAAUGAGCUCAAAUAUAAUUUUCUCAAAGAAACCUUCUGUUUUUCUGCAAUAAAUUAACUAGUCCAUCACCCAUUAACUGAUCAUGCUUUAUACCCUCACAGUAUCCUGAAUUUCUUCAUGUGACCUAGCAAACUUUUAAUUCUUACUCAAUGCUGGUCUUCUCCCUCACGUUUAAAACUACAUCAAAACAGAGACCUAACUAUAUGUUCUCAUUGCUCUCUCCUCACAACCAAAGAUAGUGCCUUGCUUAAGGCCAGCCUUCCAUAAAUAUUUGCUGAAUUAAUAACAUUAAUGCGUUAGGCAUACUGUACUGGGGUCCUUGAAGCAUGAGUUUUUCCAUAACAUCACUUUACUAGUUUUAUCUGAAAAAGGAGAUGAAGAGUGGAUCUCCAUAUUUUGAAAUGCAAAAUCUGGAAUGUCUGGAUUUAGGUACACUCUAUGGUUAGUGAAAAAGUCUGCUGUUUGGGGGAAACUCAAGGCUUUCUCCUUUUCUAUCCUGUAUUCCACCUCAGGAGGAAGAUAAACGUGAAGAAAGGGCAGUAUUGGGUCAGUAUCAUAAACAACGGCAUAAAUUCCUCCAUGUGACAAUGGAAGAAGUUAAAACAUCUUGUGAUCCAAUAAUAAAUUUUCUCUGUAAUUGGGAAGAAAUUUUCAUGCUCUUGGUAAUUGAGAAUACAUACUUUAAUGGAGAAAAAUUAAGACCAUAUGAUUAGAGGAAACCUUUACAAAGUAUAUAUUAUUAUUUCUAUUUAUCUGAACCAGGAUCCUUGCUUUGUUAUAGAUAAUGUGCUAAUACUGUUUUGCUUUGUUUUUAAGAGAAAUUAUAUAGUAAAAAUUUUAAGUUACCUUCUAUGUGCAGGGUAUUGAAUUACCUGUCCCAGAUAAUUACAACACAGACUGGAGAGAAGAGACAACACUCCUUUGUAAAAAUAAAACAAUAAAAAUAAAAAAAUAAAAAAA
rnacentral:lncRNA from 1 species